AUAGGACACACUGCCUAACUUUGGAGAGGAAUCUUUGGAGGACAGGAUUUUGUGUAAGCCUCAGUGUAGAACAGUCUAAAGGAAUACUUCAACUACGAAGUAUUUUUCUGCCCAGGUAGGAAGAGGACAGCCAGAUGAUCAGAUUUCCAGAAAUGCAUCUGAGGAUGGAACGAACACCAGCAAUGAUUCAUCUAUCUGAACUGUCUUCUGGAAAGGGGUAAAUGGAUUGCAGCUUUUGGAAUAUGAAGCCACACAGCUGCUUCGAAAGAGUAGAGGAGGAAUGUGCAAAAAUACUGA